UACAGAGGGGGCAAGCGUUAUUCGGAAUUACUGGGCGUAAAGCGCACGUAGGCGGCUUUGUAAGUAAGAGGUGAAAGCCUGGAGCUCAACUCCAGAAUUGCCUUUUAGACUGCAUCGCUUGAAUCAUGGAGAGGUGAGUGGAAUUCCGAGUGUAGAGGUGAAAUUCGUAGAUAUUCGGAAGAACACCAGUGGCGAAGGCGGCUCACUGGACAUGUAUUGACGCUGAGGUGCGAAAGCGUGGGGAGCAAACAGG
rnacentral:rRNA from 1 species